UCAUUGCACCCCUCAAGCUUGGCUUGGUAUUGGGUUCUCGCCCCCGCAGGCGUGCCCGAAAAGCAGUGGCGGUCCGGGGAGACUUGAUGCGUAGUAAAUUUUUCCCUCGCUUCCAAGUCUCGCGCCGCGGCCGGCCAGACAACCCCAUAAUCUUUCCAAUGAUUGACCUCGGAUCAGGUAGGGAUACCCGCUGAACUUAA
rnacentral:misc_RNA from 1 species